rnacentral:rRNA from 1 species
GGUGCAAGCGUUAUCCGGAUUCACUGGGUUUAAAGGGUGCGUAGGUGGGCAGGUAAGUCAGUGGUGAAAUCUCCGAGCUUAACUCGGAAACUGCCGUUGAUACUAUUUGUCUUGAAUAUUGUGGAGGUAAGCGGAAUAUGUCAUGUAGCGGUGAAAUGCUUAGAUAUGACAUAGAACACCAAUUGCGAAGGCAGCUUACUACACAACGAUUGACGCUGAGGCACGAAAGCGUGGGGAUCAAACAGG